AAAGUACACUCAAGGGUGUGCUCAUAAGGAAAGGGACUUUCUCUUGUAUGAUCUAACCUUUAAUCCACAUUAGUUAUUGUUCAACUAAACCACAGUGCUUAACAAUUUAAAUGGUAGUUAAAUAUUUUCGGCCUAACGUUUUGUGAUGUACUCACUUCCUCAGAGCCUCUGAGGAAGUAUAUCAAACGCAUUAGGCCGAAAAUUACAGUUUUAAGUGUAAAUGUUUAUUAAUAAAGCUAAACCAAAUCUGAUCCUUCCCUUUGUCACCCGUAACGGUUUCCUAACCUCUACAGCAUGUGGAGUUUGUCUUUUGACCAAUCUUGGAUCCGUAGGAGAGAGAACCAGGAAGUGAGUGACGAGCGUCUGUGAGAGGAACGAGAGGUGAUAGCAGGAUUGUGCGGCUAUUUAUUCAUGAGGACCAUGUACUGUUUGCACAAACGUGUACAUGCACUGCAUGCAUUGCAAGUUGGAAAGAGUCAGAAAAAGGCAAAUAAAUCAAAAACUAUAACAAAAAAUAAAUGAAGACAAAUCAAAAAGUUGCUUGGAAUUAGACAUUCUAUAACAUAAUAAAAGUGAACACCCCUUUAAGGUCACCAUUGAUAAGCCAGAGACACUUCCAGCUGCAGCCUUGGGAAAGCACAAAGGAAUUGAUUUCAGUCUGUCCACAGAAGAUUUAACGAUUUGUUCACUCAUCCAGGAGGAUCAUGUGAAGGGAGCAGCAUUCCCCAUACAUUUAUUUUUACUUUAAAUUAUUGCUUCCCUCCAGUAACAUCUAGGGGCACAUUUACUAAGGGUCGAAGU